UACGUAGGGUGCAAGCGUUAAUCGGAAUUACUGGGCGUAAAGCGUGCGCAGGCGGUUAUGCAAGACAGAUGUGAAAUCCCCGGGCUCAACCUGGGAACUGCAUUUGUGACUGCAUGGCUAGAGUACGGUAGAGGGGGAUGGAAUUCCGCGUGUAGCAGUGAAAUGCGUAGAUAUGCGGAGGAAUACCGAUGGCGAAGGCAGCCCCCUGGGAUAACACUGACGCUCAUGCACGAAAGCGUGGGGAGCAAACAGG
rnacentral:rRNA from 1 species